rnacentral:rRNA from 1 species
ACUCCUACGGGAGGCAGCAGUGGGGAAUAUUGCACAAUGGGGGAAACCCUGAUGCAGCCAUGCCGCGUGUGUGAAGAAGGCCUUCGGUUGUAAAGCACUUUCAGUAGGGAGGAAGGUAGUGUAGUUAACACCUGCAUUAUUUGACGUUACCUACAGAAGAAGCACCGGCUAACUCCGUGCCAGCAGCCGCGGUAAUACGGAGGGUGCGAGCGUUAAUCGGAAUUACUGGGCGUAAAGCGCAUGCAGGCGGCCUGUUAAGUCAGAUGUGAAAGCCCGGGGCUUAACCUCGGAAUUGCAUUUGAAACUGGCAGGCUAGAGUCUUGUAGAGGGGUUAGAAUUUCGAGGUGUAGCGGUGAAAUGCGUAGAGAUCUGAAGGAAUACCAGUGGCGAAGGCGGCCCCCGUGGACAAAGACUGACGCUCAGACUGCGAAAGCGUGGGAGCAAACAGGAUUAGAUA